rnacentral:tRNA from 1 species
GAGUUGUAGCUCAGUGGUAGAGUGCAGGCCUUGCAUGUGUGAGGCACUGGGUUUGAUCCUUAGUACCAUGCA